AUCCUUGGCAAAGGAACUCUCCACUGUGGCUUUGGUUUGAACUUCAGCUCUUUAGAGUACAGGGGUCACAUGUGAAUUUGUUAUGCUCUCUGGCAAAUGUUUCAGAAUAAAUGAAUCUGAUGAAAUUCUCAUGAAGUAUUUGUUUUUUAGUGUUUCUCUAAUAUACAAUAAAUUGUAAUUUAUGAGGCAUAAUUGAAGAAAAUUCUGGAGGAAGUUGUGUAUAAGAUUAGGGGGAUUAUUAAAUCAACUUUAUUGUGUUUUCAAAAGUUAAAAAUGGUUUACAGCUAUAAUAAAUUGCUUGAGAGUGCUAUCAACCCAUAAAUUUUAAUAAUUUUAUAAACAUUCUGCAGUUAAGUUGGGCUCAUGGCCAAAUCCCAGGGCUGGUUUUGUGUCAUGUAGUGUGUGUUUCAGUUUACCUGACUGAUAAAGGAAUGAGCUGUUCCUCAUGCAUGACAUGCAGUGA
rnacentral:lncRNA from 1 species